rnacentral:lncRNA from 1 species
AUCUGACCCAAGGAUUAUUCUACAGUGAAGGUCCAGGAUCCUUCCUUAUAGAUACUUGCAAGCCUAUUCUAAACACAUACACACACCUUGUGUUCAACAACAACUAAAGAUGGAGACUCCGGCAUAGAACAUUUAACAGCUUGCUCAAGAUCGUCCAUCUCCUAAUGGGCAGAGCUAGGUUCUGGAUUCAGACAGCCUGGCUCCACGAUCCAAGUUUUAAAGAGAGAAAGACAGCUAGAGCAGAAAGGAAUAAAAGAAGAGAAGAGUCAAGUGGAGAAGGUCGGCUGAGCUGCCUGGUCCCUGUUCCCACGGAGACCGCUGAAAUAGAUCCAGGCUGCGUCCUGUUGGAUGGGUUCCUCCUGUGCUUACCGUGCUCCCCUUGUCAACCUGGCCCACUCAUCAGUUCCUCCCAACUUGUUUACACUGGGGACAAGGGCUGCAUGGGUACAGCAAAGGAAAUUAAAACUGAGGUAGCACGAAAGAAAAAAGUAGAAAUGCAUGAAAGGAGAUCAGACGCAGUGUUGCUGACUCCUUUCUAUGAAAACCAAGCAUUUCCCCAGAAGAGUUCAAAAGGUUUAUAAACACAAGCCUGUGGAUCUUCUGGAAGGUGGAUGUCACCUCUGUGCUAUUAUACUCUGUAGCAUAAAGAGGGCUUGACAGAGGAAGGGAGGAGGGGAAUAACAGGUUCUUGGGCAUUGGGCAGACAGAGGUUCCUAUCUCAGAGUUGUCACUGACACAUGUGCCUUGGCAUUUGAACAUAACUAAACAUUGGAUCUCUUUCUCCAUCUUUAACUUAAGGUGAUAUCGUGGAAGAUAUGUUUGAUCUUUGCCUUUGCUGCAUCUUUUCCUUGCCUCUUCUGGUUACAGCAUCCCUCAUUUCCCUUUGUUGGGUAAAGCCUACCCCCAUUUCAUGCAAUCUUUGGGAAGACUGUCAAUCAAAGUAUUCUAAGGGCUAAGAGUGACUCAGGCCAGGACAAUCAAGACACCACCCCCACCCCACCACCCCAUCAUUUGUAGGACUGAGCCAGGGUCCAAAAGCCAUUGGAGACUGCCUGAACAAAUUGUUCAUUUGUUCCUGCUCAUAAAACCUCCCAAAAUUGCUUUGGUUCUUGUUCUUCCUUGCAGCCUGUAUGUUUAACUGUCCCCCUCCUUGCAAGCCUAACAAAUUCCAAAUUCCUUUUUUGGUAAAAUUAACUAGUGUUGGUUUCUGUUGCUUGCCACAAAGAACGCUAAAUGAUGCAAAUACUUGACCUCUUAGGGCUGCUGUGAGGAUUAGCAAUAACAAAUGCAGUUCUAGGUUUAAAGUAAAGGCUCAAUAUCUGCUCCAAAGAAUUACUACUAGGGAAUAACUUAAGGUUAUAACUCUAACAAUCAAUCCAAGGAAAUUCACAAAGCUAAUGAGUCUGUGCCACAGGGUGUUAAGCAAUAGGGUGCCCCUUCCACAGCUCCUUCUAUGGUCUAAUUAACCAAGAGGUGUUGCACAUUUCCCAGAUCAAAAGCACCUUCCCCUACUGGCCUGCCAUCCUUUCUGCAAUUCCCAUCAUUCCUGUCAUUUGUCAAGUUUUAUCAUAAAGAAACACUUAAAGCACUUAAAUGUGGUGCUUCCUUGAACCAGUACGUUAUUGGCGUGUGUGUGUAUGUGUGUAUGUGUGUCUGUAAAUGCUUAUGUGUUACUUUCCCUAAAUGCAGAGAACACAUGUUUGACCAAUUUGGAGAGAAGUUU